rnacentral:rRNA from 1 species
UGUGCUACACAUGCAAGUCGAACGGGGUCGGAACUUCGGUUCCGACUUACGUGGCGCACGGGUGAGUAACACGUGGGAAUCUGCCCAUCUAUGGGGAAUAACUGCGGGAAACUGCAGCUAAUACCGCAUACGCCCUUCGGGGGAAAGGCUUCGGCCGUAGAUGGAUGAGCCCGCGUCCGAUUAGCUAGUUGGUGGGGUAACGGCCUACCAAGGCGACGAUCGGUAGCUGGUCUGAGAGGAUGAUCAGCCACACUGGGACUGAGACACGGCCCAGACUCCUACGGGAGGCAGCAGUGGGGAAUAUUGGACAAAUGGGCGAAAGCCCUGGAAUCCCAGCAAUGCCCGGCCGU